AACGAACGCUGGCGGCAGGCUUAACACAUGCAAGUCGAACGGGUGUAGCAAUACAUCAGUGGCAGACGGGUGAGUAACACGUGGGAACCUUCCUAGGGGUACGGAACAACUCAGGGAAACUUGAGCUAAUACCGUAUACGUCCGUGAGGAGAAAGAUUUAUCGCCCUUAGACGGGCCCGCGUCGGAUUAGCUAGUUGGUGGGGUAACGGCCUACCAAGGCGACGAUCCGUAGCUGAUCUUAGAGGAUGAUCAGCCACACUGGGACUGAGACACGGCCCAGACUCCUACGGGAGGCAGCAGUGGGGAAUCUUGGACAAUGGGCGCAAGCCUGAUCCAGCCAUGCCGCGUGAGUGAAGAAGGCCUUAGGGUUGUAAAGCUCUUUUGCCAGGGACGAUAAUGACGGUACCUGGAGAAUAAGCCCCGGCAAACUUCGUGCCAGCAGCCGCCGUAAGAC
rnacentral:rRNA from 1 species